UACGGGGGGGGGCAAGCGUUGUUCGGAAUUACUGGGCGUAAAGGGCUCGUAGGCGGCCAACUAAGUCGGAUGUGAAAUCCCCCAGGCUCAACCUGGGAACUGCAUCCGAUACUGGAUGGCUUGAAUUCGGGAGAGGGAUGCAGAAUUCCAGGUGUAGCGGUGAAAUGCGUAGAUAUCGGGAGGAAUACCAGUGGCGAAGGCGGCUGCCUGGCCUGUUCUUGACGCUGAGGCGCGAAAGCUGGGGGAGCAAACGGG
rnacentral:rRNA from 1 species